rnacentral:rRNA from 1 species
UACGAAGGGGGCUAGCGUUGCUCGGAAUCACUGGGCGUAAAGCGCACGUAGGCGGCUUACUAAGUCAGGGGUGAAAUCCUGGAGCUCAACUCCAGAACUGCCUUUGAUACUGGUGAGCUUGAGUCCGGAAGAGGUGAGUGGAACUGCGAGUGUAGAGGUAAAAUUCGUAGAUAUUCGCAAGAACACCAGUGGCGAAGGCGGCUCACUGGUCCGGUACUGACGCUGAGGUGCGAAAGCGUGGGGAGCAAACAGG